GCGUUGAUAGCAUAGUGGUCUUAUUGCAACUGAUUGCAAAUCAGUAGGUCCCCGGUUCGACUCCGGGUCAACGCU
rnacentral:tRNA from 1 species